UGGUAUUAUCCCCUUUUCACUUAUUUAAUCACAAUAAUUUUUUUAUGACUCCACAGAUAUGUGAAUGACCACAGCGUUAGGUACUUGGUUGUCACAUCUGCGUCACUUAAAUUAAACGGAAAAUCUUCUUCUUUUCAGGAUGUAUGGUGUGGCCCUGGAAUUGAACUCGCAUCAGAUCAUGCUUCUACUUCUGUGGAUUGUGUGGUGGCAAGGAAGAAUGCUUCUUCAAGAAGAAACCUUGAUGCUGUUGAGAGAGCAACACAUAGGGAAGAGUUCUUGAUUGUUUAAUUGAUCAAAGACUGUACAUUGAUUUGCCUGAUGCGAAGCAAAGGGUCCAAAUUUUUGGUGUGCAUAGUUCUGGAAAGCAACUUGCAGAGGAUGUUGAUUUUGAAAAGCUUGUCUUCCGAACUGUUGGAUUCUCAGGAGUAGAUAUAAGAAACCUUGUCAAUGAAGCAGCAAUAAUGGUUGUGGGUUUCUGCUGCAUUUGAUUUUAUUCUUUGCUGUGCUACUAACUUCCAGAUUUAGACCUGCUGUAUGCAACAUCAUGGUGGUGUCUUCAGUGUGACUUUAAUAUGUCUGUAGUUGAAGGGAAUGUGAUUAAUCACGGUUAAGA